GAUGAAGAACGCAGCGAAAUGCGAUAAGUAAUGUGAAUUGCAGAAUUCAGUGAAUCAUCGAAUCUUUGAACGCACAUUGCGCCCCUUGGUAUUCCGAGGGGCAUGCCUGUUCGAGCGUCAUUAUAACCCUCAAGCUCAGCUUGGUGUUGGGCCUGCUGCACUGGCAGCCCUUAAAAUCAGUGGCGGCGCCAUCUGGCUCUAAGCGUAGUAAUUCUUCUCGCUAUGGAGUCCUGGUGGAUGCUUGCCAUCAACCCCCAAUUUUUCUAUGGUUGACCUCGGAUCAGGUAGGGAUACCCGCUGAACUUAAGCAUAUCAAUAAGCGGAGGA
rnacentral:misc_RNA from 1 species